rnacentral:rRNA from 1 species
AUACGUAGGGUGCGAGCGUUGUCCGGAAUUACUGGGCGUAAAGAGCUCGUAGGUGGUUUGUCGCGUCGUCUGUGAAAUUCCGGGGCUUAACUCCGGGCGUGCAGGCGAUACGGGCAUAACUUGAGUACUGUAGGGGAGACUGGAAUUCCUGGUGUAGCGGUGAAAUGCGCAGAUAUCAGGAGGAACACCGGUGGCGAAGGCGGGUAUCUGGGCAGUAACGGACGCUGAGGAGCGAAAGCAUGGGUAGCGAACAGGAUUAGAUACCCUGGUAGUCCAUGCCGUAAACGGUGGGCGCUAGGUGUAGGGGUCUUCCACGACUUCUGUGCCGUAGCUAACGCAUUAAGCGCCCCGCCUGGGGAGUACGGCCGCAAGGCUAAAACUCAAAUGAAUUGACGGGG